rnacentral:lncRNA from 1 species
UAAAAGCAAAUUAUUUAAGAACAAAAAAAUUUUAAAAAAAUAAAAAAAUUGAUUUCCAGUACAUCCACAAGAAGGGAAAAUGGGGAGUAGGCUACCAAUAGAAAAGUAACACCAACCAAAACAUGAAGAAAGUAGAAUGAAUCUAGAAACCCUAUUGGUCAUUGCCCUUGCAUGCUAAGAAAUUGAAUAUGACUUUAUGAAUGUGAAACAAAAAAAAAAAA